GGGGCUAUGGUGAAAGGGUAUCAUGCAGCAAUCGCACUGCUGAGUUUCGAGUUCAAUUCUCGGUAGCUCCA
rnacentral:tRNA from 1 species